GUUAAUCCAAUGUAGCGCAGAUGUAUCACAUAAUUAGGCUGGAUGUGGAUUUUAUUUUGCUUAUGCAGACAUAGAUUCUUUUUUUAGGGUUUGGGAUUGUCACCAUCAACCAAACCACACACACACACACACACACACACACACACACACACACACAUGCAUGCACACUUGAGAUGAAUGAUCCAAGUUUUCCUCCGAUAACUAAACAAUGACUGUGUGUUUACUUCAAAAUUCACUUGAAUACCUGUGAGUAAUUUAUUGGCGUAAUCUUUAUGUAAGGCAAGAUGAGGCCAGGCGUUUAUAUGGCACCAAAACUGUAGCUGGCAACUGACCAUGAAGGCUGAUAACUGACAGUUGUAACACCGAAUACCAUUAUAACGUUGACAAAGAGAGGUUACAUCACUAACACACAUCUCAACAAACACACAUUCACUGGUAUUCAUUUGAACUACACCAGUGUCCUUAUGCAGCAGUUAAAGAAGAUAAUUGCUGAAACAAUUAGUUGAACCUAUUUUGACAUGGAUUCAAGACAUUUUUCAAUCAAAUAAAUGUUAUACAUUCAUGUUUCAUCCUCACAAAAUGCAAAGAUUAUCGGCUUUCUUUGUCUUACAUGGCAAUUGUCCUGCACACUGAGUACAUUUGGGCUUUUGGGAGUCAUACAUAAGACUAAAACUAUGCAGAAGUCAAUGUGAUAAGAGACAGAAAGAGAAAGGCUUCCAAUGCCAUAUGUACUCCGUUCCCAGUAUUGCCGACUGACUCACUUUGUGUCGAGUCAGCUCUUGCUCUCAUUAAAUAUUGUUUCAGACUCAAGACGCACAUUUUUUAGAGUUAGGGGAGCACAUUCAAGGUUCUCUGGCCUGUUUAUGUUCCUACUCUUCAUCUGCACAUUGUGAAAGGAACCUCCGCCUUUUUCUCUUUCUGUCUUUGCACCAGACAAAGAGAAUGAGAGUACAGUCUAGAAACAUACCCCCGUCUCUAUUACUCCUAUCACCUGUUCGAGGUUUCAUGUGGAGAUCGGUGCGAAGCUCGACUUCUCGAGGUAGCGAUUGCUGCUGAAACCGGCGCAACGUUCGUCUCAUUCGAUCCCACAGCCUCGUGGUCCUUUUUGAAAAGAGAAGCCGCACCUCCAGUUUAACCAUAUAAGAAACUGAACCUAAAACUGAUUCCUGAGCUUCUCCCUGACAGUGGAAACUGUGUGUGUGUGUGUGUGUGUGUGUG
ensembl:lncRNA